rnacentral:rRNA from 1 species
GAUGAACGCUGGCGGCGUGCCUAAUACAUGCAAGUCGAGCGAACGGGCGAGAAGCUUGCUUCUCUGAUGUUAGCGGCGGACGGGUGAGUAACACGUGGAUAACAUACCUAUAAGACUGGGAUAACUUCGGGAAACCGGAGAUAAUACCGGAUGAUAUUUUGAACCGCAUGGUUCAAAAGUGAAAGACGGUCUUGCUGUCACUUAUAGAUGGAUCCGCGCUGCAUUAGCUAGUUGGUAAGGUAACGGCUUACCAAGGCAACGAUGCAUAGCCGACCUGAGAGGGUGAUCGGCCACACUGGAACUGAGACACGGUCCAGACUCCUACGGGAGGCAGCAGUAGGGAAUCUUCCGCAAUGGGCGAAAGCCUGACGGAGCAACGCCGCGUGAGUGAUGAAGGUCUUCGGAUCGUAAAACUCUGUUAUUAGGGAAGAACAUAUGUGUAAGUAACUGUGCACAUCUUGACGGUACCUAAUCAGAAAGCCACGGCUAACUACGUG